rnacentral:rRNA from 1 species
GAUGAACGCUGGCGGCGGGCCUAAUACAUGCAAGUCGAGCGAACGGACGAGAAUUGCUCUUGUCUGAUGCUACCGGCGGAUGGGUGAGUAACAGGUGGAUAACCGACCGAUAGGACUGGCAUAAGGUCGCGAAACCUGAUCUCACACCGGCUCAUAGUUUGAAACGCAGGGUUCAAAGGAGCUAGCCGGUCUUGCUGUCCCUUAGACGUGUAUCCGCGCUGCUUUAGCUAGUUGGUAAGAAAACGGCUUACCAAGGCAACUAUGCAUAGCCGACCUGUCAGGAGGAUCGGCCACACUGGAACUGAGACACGGUCCAGACUCCUACGGGAGGCAGCAGUAGGGAAUCUUGGACAAUGGGCGAAAGCCUGACCGAGCCACGCCGCGUGAGUGAUGAAGGUCUUCGGAUCGUAAAACUCUGUAAUUAGGGAGGAACAUCUGUAUGAGUAUCUGUGGCCAUCUUGACGGUACCUAAACAGAAAGCCCCGGCUAACUUCGUG